CUUUGUUAUGAGGUUUUCCCAUCUGAAUAAAUUAAUAACUAGAUUUUUUGCUAGGGUGAGGCAUCAGGUUCUCGAACUGGAAAAUAAAUCUCUGUGGCCCUUUUUAAUUCUAGACGUGGCCACUGAAACCCUGAGUAGAUUCCUUGCCUGGCUUAAUUCAAACAUGAUGUUGGUUCUUAGAACCAGAAAACAUCUCAAUGGCCCUUUUUAAUGCUAGAGGUGCCGGUAAUGGAUAAUAGAUUUUAUAGUUUUCUGCCUGGCGUAAAUGUAGCCCUGGCGAUGGUUCUUAGAACCAGGAAGAAAACCUCAGUGGCCCUUUUUAAUGCUAGGUGUGUGGCCAGUGCUUCAUAACAGAUUUUAGAGCAUUCUUGCCUGCUGUAAAUUUAGCCAUGGCAAGGGUUCUUAGAACCAAAAAAACAUUCUCAAUGGCCUUUUUAAUCCUAGGCUUGGCUGUUGAUGGAUUAUAUUAUAGUUUUCUGCCUGGCGUAAAUGUAGCCCUGGCGAUGGUUCCUAGAACCAGAAAGCAAACCUCAACAGCCCUUUUUAAUGCUAGGUGUGUCCGUUGAUCUAUAGAAGAUAUUGUAGUCUUUGAGGUUGAGGGGAGGAACGAUGGCACACCUGCUGCCAAUCUUCCUCGAAAGAGACAACGCUUGCUGGGCACGACUGACGAAGAAACAAAAACAAAAGAAGAAAGAAGAAAAAAGAGAGCAUGAAAACGUCUCCACCUCAAGCCCUGUUAACCUUUGGCUGUGAUGUGGCCUCCUACGCUGUGAGGCCUGUUCUCUGCACCACUUUAGAAGACAGAAGACUCAGUCGUCAGCCUGCAGCGUCGAUGGAAGAAGGAGGAAUGGACCUUUAGAUGAUAGAUUUUAUACCAUUCUUGCCUGCUGUAAAUUUAGCCAUGGCAAUGGUUCUUAAAACCAAAAAAAACAUUCUCAACGGCCCUUUUUAAUCCUAGGCGUGGCUGUUGAUGGACUAUAGAUUUUAUAGUUUUCUGCCUGGCGUAAAUUUAGCCAUGGCAAUGGUUCUUAGAACCAGGAAGAAAACCUCAUUGGCCCUUUUAAAUGACCAGUGUGUGGCCAGUGCUUGGUAAGAGAUUUUAGAGCAUUCUUGCCUGCUGUAAAUUUAGCCAUGGCAAGGGUUCUUAGAACCAAAAAAAACACCAAUGGCCUUUUUAUUCCUAGACAUGGCUGUUGAUGGAUUAUAUUAUAGUUUUCUGCCUGGCGUAAAUUUAGCCCUGGCAAUGGUUCUUAGAACCAGAAAGCAAACCUCAACGGCCCUUUUUAAUGCUAGGUGUGUCCGUUGAUCUAUAGAAGAUAUUGUAGUCUUUGAGGUUGAGGGGAGGAAGGAUGGCACACCUGCUGCCAAUGUUCCUCAAAAGAGACAAGACUUGCUGGGCACGGCAGAGGAAGAAGAAAAACAAGAAAGAAGAGAGCAAGAAAAUGUCUCCAGCUCAAGCCCUGUUAGCCUUCGGCUAUGAUGUGGCCUCCUACACUGUGAGGCCUGUUCUCUGCACCACUUUAGAAGACAGAAGACACAGUCGUCAGCCUGCAGCGUCGAUGGAAGAAGGAGGAAUGGAAUGCAAUAAGGAUGGUUAAUAGAACCAAAAAAACCACCUCAAUGGCCCUUUUUAAUCCUAUUCUUGGCUGUUGAUGGAUUAUAGAUGAUAUAGUUUUCUGCCUGGCGUAAAUUUAGCCAUGGCAAUGGUUCUUAGAACCAGGAAGAAAACCUCAGUGGCCCUUUUAAAUGUCCAGUGUGUGGCCAGUGCUUGGUAAGAGAUUUUAUAGCUUUCUGCCUGGUGUAAAUUUAGCCCUGGCGAUGGUUCUUAGAACCAAAAAACCCACCUCAAUGGCCUUUUUAAUCCUAGGCUUGGCUGUUGAUGGAUUAUAUUAUAGUUUUCUGCCUGGCGUAAAUUUAGCCCUGGCAAUGGUUCUUAGAACCAGAAAUCAAACCUCAACGGCCCUUUUUAAUGCUAGGUGUGUCCGUUGAGCUAUAGAAGAUUUUGUAGUCUUUGAGGUUGAGGAGAGGAAGGAUGGCACACCUGCUGCCAAUCUUCCUCGAAAGAGACAACACUUGCUGGGCACGGCAGAGGAAGAAGGAAAAGAAGAAAGAAGAGUAUGAAAAUGUCUCCAGCUCAAGCCCUGUUAGCCUUCGGCUGUGAUGUGGUCUCCUACGCUGUGAGGCCUGUUCUCUGCACUACCUUAGAAGACAGAAGACUCAGUCGUCAGCCUGCAGCGUUGAUGGAAGAAAGAGGAAUGGACCUUUAGAUGAUAGAUUUUAUACCAUUCUUGCCUGCUGUAAAUUUAGCCAUGGCAAUGGUUCUUAGAACCAAAAAAACCACCUCAAUGGCCCUUUUUAAUCCUAUUCUUGGCUGUUACGGACUAUAGAUUUUAUAGUUUUCUGCCUGGCAUAAAUUUAGCCAUGGCAAUGGUUCCUAGAACCAGGAAGAAAACCUCAUUGGCCCUUUUAAAUGACCAGUAAGUGGCCAGUGCUUGGUAACAGAUUUUAGAGCAUUCUUGCCUGCUGUAAAUUUAGCCAUGGCAAGGGUUCUUAGAACCAAAAAAACAUCAAUGGCCUUUUUAAUCCUAGGCAUGGCUGUUGAUGGAUUAUAGAUUUUAUAGUUUUCUGCCUGGCGUAAAUUUAGCCCUGGCAAUGGUUCUUAGAACCAGAAAUCAAACCUCAACGGCCCUUUUUAAUGCUAGGUGUGUCCGUUGAGCUAUAGAAGAUAUUCUAGUCUUUGAGGUUGAGGGGAGGAAUGAUGGCACACCUGCUGCCAAUCUUCCUCGAAAGAGACAAGACUUGCUGGGCACAGCAGAGGAAGAAGAAAAAGAAGAAAGCAAGAAAAUGUCUCCAGCUCAAGCCCUGUUAGCCUUCGGCUAUGAUGUGGCCUCCUACGCUGUGAGGCCUGUUCUCUGCACCACCUUAGAAGACAGAAGACUCAAUCAUCAGCCUGCAGCGUCGAUGGAAGAAGGAGGAACGGAAUGCAAUAAGGAUGUUUAUUAGAACCAAAAAAAAACCACCUCAAUGGCUCUUUUUAAUCCUAGGCAUGGCUGUUGAUGGAUUAUAGAUGAUAUAGUUUUCUGCCUGCCGUAAAUAUAGCCCUGGCGAUGGUUCUUAGAACCAGGAAGAAAACCUCAUUGGCCCUUUUAAAUGACCAGUGUGUGGCCAGUGCUUGGUAAGAGAUUUUAUAGCUUUCUGCCUGGUGUAAAUUUAGCCAUGGCAAGGGUUCUUAGAACCAAAAAAACAUCAAUGACCUUUUUAUUCCUAGGCAUGGCUGUUGAUGGAUUAUAUUAUAGUUUUCUGCCUGGCGUAAAUUUAGCCCUGGCAAUGGUUCUCAGAACCAGAAAGCAAACCUCAACGGCCCUUUUUAAUGCUAGGUGUGACCGUUGAGCUAUAGAAGAUAUUGUAGUCUGUAAGGUUGAGGGGAGGAAUGAUGGCACACCUGCUGCCAAUCUUCCUCGAAAGAGACAACACUUGCUGGGCACAGCAGAGGAAGAAGGAAAAGAAGAAAGAAGAUUAUGGAAAUGUCUCCAGCUCAAGCCCUGUUAGCCUUCGGCUGUGAUGUGGCCUCCUACGCUGUGAGGCCUGUUCUCUUCACCAUCUUAGAAGACAGAAGACUCAGUCAUCAGGCUGCAGCGUCGAU